rnacentral:rRNA from 1 species
CCUACGGGAGGCAGCAGUAGGGAAUCUUCCACAAUGGGCGAAAGCCUGAUGGAGCAACGCCGCGUGGGUGAAGAAGGUCUUCGGAUCGUAAAACCCUGUUGUUAGAGAAGAAAGUGCGUGAAAGUAACUGUUCACGUUUCGACGGUAUCUAACCAGAAAGCCACGGCUAACUACGUGCCAGCAGCCGCGGUAAUACGUAGGGGGCAAGCGUUAUCCGGAUUGAUUGGGCGUAAAGGGAACGCAGGCGGUCUUGUAAGUCUGAGGUGAAAGCCUUCGGCUUAACCGGGGUAGUGCAUUGGAAACUGGGAGACUUGAGUGCAGAAGAGGAGGGUGGAACUCGAGGUGUAGCGGUGAAAUGCGUAGAUAUAAGGAAGAACACCAGUGGCGAAGGCGGCUCUCUGGUCUGUAACUGACGCUGAGGUUCGAAAGCGUGGGUAGCAAACAGGAUUAGAUACCCGUGUAGUC